rnacentral:rRNA from 1 species
UGGGGAAUAUUGCACAAUGGGCGCAAGCCUGAUGCAGCCAUGCCGCGUGUAUGAAGAAGGCCUUCGGGUUGUAAAGUACUUUCAGCGGGGAGGAAGGCGAUAAGGUUAAUAACCUUGUCGAUUGACGUUACCCGCAGAAGAAGCACCGACUAACUCCGUGCCAGCAGCCGCGGUAAUACGGAGGGUGCAAGCGUUAAUCGGAAUUACUGGGCGUAAAGCGCACGCAGGCGGUCUGUCAAGUCGGAUGUGAAAUCCCCGGGCUCAACCUGGGAACUGCAUUCGAAACUGGCAGGCUAGAGUCUUGUAGAGGGGGGUAGAAUUCCAGGUGUAGCGGUGAAAUGCGUAGAGAUCUGGAGGAAUACCGGUGGCGAAGGCGGCCCCCUGGACAAAGACUGACGCUCAGGUGCGAAAGCGUGGGGAGCAAACA